rnacentral:lncRNA from 1 species
UGUGAUCUUUAACCUCCAAUCAAACUCUUGCCCAAGUAAAAUCUACUAUCAUUUUCACUUUCAAUAUAUUACUUCUCUCUCUCAAUCUCUCUGUACCUGUGUGUCUCUUCUCCAAUUUUUUUGUUGUUGUUGAUUUAAUAGCAUAGAAGACCCAAUCUGGAAUGAUGGUCGUUUCAAGAUAAGGUAUAUAAUCUACUCUACUUUCUUUUGAUAUGUAUUUAGGGCAUUAUCAAUAUGGAUAUCUCCAGAUGGCAUAUCACAUGUAUGUAUUGAUGUGUUUUUAUUUAUUUUUAAUUUUAUUUUAAGGGUAUGAAGAAAUUUUGUCUAUUGUUCUUUAAUUUUUGAGAGGUUAAAAGCUCAAAAUUUUCAGUCUUAAUCUGAAUGUGGUUACAGCCAAAGAAGAACCGGA